GGGAUUAUAGUUAAAUCUGGUACAACGUUCGGUUGUCAUCCGAUUGAUACGGGUUCAAAUCCCGUUAAUCCCG
rnacentral:tRNA from 1 species